CAUGUACUCCCUUCAUCCCAAAAUUCUUGUCUUAGAUUUGUCCAAGUACGGAUGUACCAAGUUAGCUUUUAGUAUUAGGUACAUCUGUAUCUAGACAAAUCUAAGACAAGAAUUUUGGGACGGAGGGAGUACAAU
rfam:Triticum aestivum genome assembly, contig: Triticum_aestivum_CS42_TGACv1_scaffold_407082_5BL